AGGAAGUUUUAUUCUUGCUUUUUUGUUUAGUUUGCGCUUACUCUAUAUGUAAGUUUUUGCGUGUUUGUGUUAGGGUUUAAAAGUGUUGGCUCUAGAAGGGUUUGAUGAAAAAGAGGAUUUAGUUUUUAUUUCUCAUUAGUUUUUUUUAGUUGUGUUGAGUAUUCUUUUAUUUAGUUGUGCGUUAAGGGUAUAAAAUAGGUUCCGGUUAAAUUUUGUGCCAGCAGCCGCGGUUAUACUUUGGGGGCCGUUAAACAUGUUCAGCUUAAAGGGCAGUUUUAUUAUUUGUUAUUUUGAUUUUCUUUUGGUAGGUUUCUAUUUGUGUUGGGUGAAAUUUUUAUUUUUGCUAUGUUUCUUUUAUUUUUUUGUAGGCUGUGAAAUUUUUUGUUUAAACUAGGAUUAGAUACCCUAUUAUUUUUGAAUGUAAAUUUUUUUGCUAGAGUAGUAUUAGUUUUGUUCUUGAAACUUAAAGAAUUUGGCGGUACCUUAUUCCAUUCAGAGGAACCUGUUUCGUUAUCGAUAAUCCGCGAUGGACCUUGCUUAGUUUGGUGUCAAAGUGGUUUGUAUACCGCCGUUUGUGUAUAUCUUUUUAGGGACAACAAUAUUCCCGUUUCUUAAUUCGGGUUUUAUUUCAGGUCAAGGUGCAGCUUGUUUCUAAGUGUUAUAAUGGGUUACAUUGACUAUUUGUUUGUUGGAUUCUUUCUUGUAAUUGAUGGUAUGAAAGUGGAUUUGAUUGUAAUGUUUUGUAGAUUGUUUUCAUGAUAUUUGGUUCUGGGGUAUGUACACAUCGCCCGUCGCUCUCUCUUGUUUUUUUUGGUGAGAUAAGUCGUAACAAAGUGGUUGUACCGGAAGGUGCGGCUGGAUUGAU
rnacentral:rRNA from 1 species